UGAAUUGUUGAUUCUAGAGAUUAGCACACAAACGCUGAAAACAUUUUAGGAUCAAGUGUUAUAUUGUAUGUUCUUGUACCACCAUAAACAUCAGCUAAACUUUAUUAUCGGAUUUUAUGUAAUGCUCUUUAGGAAUGUGGAAUUACCUUUAAUUCGGUAAAUAAUUUACUGUGCAUACAUUCAAUUUCCGUGGCUCUGAUGUAUUUUCUAUAUUUUAAAGGUUAUUCGGAUUUAAGGCAUUUCGACAACGAUGGAGCAGGAGGAUGGAACUAAGUGUGUUGACUUUGAAAGACUAUCUAGCAGAAAGCGGAGAGGAUCUGAUGAUGAAGUUGAUGAACCUAACAGUAAACAUAAGAAGCUGCGAUCAAGUUCUCCAAAUGCAGAUGACAGUGGAAAAGAGAAGAAACCAGAGACAAAUGAAACAGAAUUAAGCUCUGAAAUUAGAGAAGAGGAAUCUUCAUGCGAAUUAACUUCUCUUAAAGAAGAAAGCAAUGAAGUGGAAAACUAUAUUCGACUUAGUACAGGUUCAGAUGAUGAACCUGAGGGAAAACAUAAGAAGAUGGUAUCUAGUUCUCCAGACGUAGAUAACAGUCAAAACGACAACAAAAAAGAUGCAAAUGAGAUAGAAGCCGUCUCUCAAGUUACAGAGGAAGAAUCUACUUUUGAUUUAACUUCUGUCACAGAAGAAAGCAAUGACGCGGAAGUGUCUAAUCAAAUCAGCACCUUUGAAAAGGAAAUUGGUGUGUCUGCAAAUUUUAAAAGUACAUCUCUUCAUGAUGACAAUGAAGAUGAAUAUUUUUCCAACAACGAAGAGGAAGAUGGUAUCGUAUUAUAUGAGAGGUCUACUGAAUAUAACUUUGAAAGAACGGAAUCAGAAUCAGGCGCAAGCACAAGAUCCGAAAAUGAUGAAAUGCUGAGAAAUGAAUACGUUUAUAGGUUGCUACGCUUCAAUGAACCGCACAAUGAAGGUCUUCGUCCAAAACUUAUUUCUUCAAGAAUAACCCUAGAAGAACACGUUAAAAACGGAAGCAAGGGCACUUGCUCUCGGUUCAUUUCCUGCUGUGAAACCAUGAAUGGUUUGAAUCGAUUGAUUGGUCUCACAAAUGAAUCUUCGCGCGUGCGUGAAGUGGUGCGCAUCAAUAUUACGAAACUAAAAGAUUUUGAAGAUGUCACAAUCAUAAAAUUGACUGACGAAAAUGUAAGGAAGGAGCACAUUGAGCGAAACUCCAAACCGUGGGAAUAUGCCGAGAAAUUUGAGGAAGUCGUGUUGGCCCCAAGAUCGCAUGUCCCUGCAGACUGUGUCGAAAGAAUUGGAUUUGUUCAACACAGAACAUUUACUAAAGAUGAACACAUUACUCUUUAACUGUUUUUUUUGUCACUUUAUCAUUUUAUAUAUUUUUACAUUUUUUUUUAUUUGAGAUUGUGUAUUAAAAAGUGUUACACAUUAGAUAUCAAAUCUAAUUUUUAAUUUGAUUGGUUUUUUUAUUUGAUCUUCGAUUUCCUAAGCAUUAGGGCAUAUAGGUUAUGACUGAUAUAGAAUAAUCUAACUAGCACAUAAUAUGAUCAGAAUAGAUGAAAAUUAGCAUGGCAGAUAUUAAAUAAAACACUUGAGUUGUUGUAAUCAUAUACAGGUGUGAUUCUGAAAGAUAAUCCAUAACAGUUAAAUAAUUUGAAUGAUAUGUAGAAACAAAGAGCUUGUGAUAGAUUUUUUUUUAUUCAAACGAGCCUACUUUCACUUUCCUUUCUUAAAAAGAUGAUGUGUAAUUUUGCAGUUUCAUUUUGAAUUCCCAGAACGUCUUGCAGUUUCAUUUUGAAUUCCCAGAACUUGAGAUGAAAUAGUUUUUUCACUGUUAUUGUGUCUUUUAACGAGGAACUUUAUCAGUAAGUGUGUGGAUAUAGUCUAUUCCGUUUUCUCUGCAAGUCUUAGUUACAGUUUAAAAUGUCCCACGUGCCCAAGUGGAUCGCCGAGUUUACCAUAAAAGAUUGCAAUGAAUGUGCAGAUAAAAAGCAAGAACAGAAAGCAAAGAGGGCUGAGAGAUAUAAGGCUAGAACUGAUCGGGCCACCGCUAUUGCGAAAAACCAAGAAAAAAGAUUGCUUGGACUUUUUUCUACGACAGCACAGAACGACAAACAUAAUUCUAUUCCACUAACGAGAAAGCGGAAAGGCCCUCAACAUGAUGAUGAACAACUUCAUCAACGUAAGAAGCUAAGAUCCAGUUCUCGAAAGACGAAUAAAAGAGGAAUUGAUAUCACAACAGGUUCCGCCGAUUCAAGUAGUACAUCUUUUUUUAUUAACAAGAAGAAGGUUGGUUUAUCUAGAAAUCAAAUUAAAGAAGAUAUUGUUGUACAUGGAAGCGAAAUUGAAAAAGCGCAAGAGAUAUCACAACUAGACAAAAGCCGGGAAAAUGCAACAGGUUCCGCUGAUUCAAGUGGUACGACGUCUUAUUGUUUGAACGAGGAGGUUGUUUUAUCCAGCAACCAAGUUGAAGAAGAAUUUGGUUUAAAUAAAAACGAAAUUGGAACACCAGUAGAGGCACCACAACCAGACGAAAGUUGCGAUAAUGCAGAUGUCGAAAAAGACGAAUAUGUAUAUAGGUUACAACGUUUUCACGAAACCCACCGGCAAGGGCUUUAUCCCAAAGAUAUCUGGUCAAGAACAAGUCUGAGGAAGCACGUUGAAAGAGGGAGUAAGGGAGUUACAUCACGGUUCAUAUCCUGCUGCAAAACACUUGUUGAUUUACAAUGCCUUGGAGGCAUUACUAAUGAAUCUACUCGCGUUCGGGAGGUAGUGCGUAUCAACAUUACGAAGCUGAAAAACUAUCAUGACGUUACUGUGAUAGAUCUUACUGACGAGACUGUACGAGGGAAACACAUAAAUCGUUCAUCAGAGGCAUGGAGAUUUGCAUCAAGAUUUAACGAAGUCAUCCUAGAACCAAGAACACACGUACCAGCUGACUGCGUCGAAAAGAUUGGAAUUGUUCUGCACAGAAAGUUUAUUAAAGACGAACACAUUAUUCUCUGACUUUUGAAUAUUAUUUUUUUUAUCUCGAUUGAGUGUGUACAUUGAUUUAAGAUUAUUUUGAUUUUUUUUAGUAAAAGAACUUUAGCUCAAAGAA